UCUUUAUAGCAGUGUAAGAACAGACUAAUACACCGAUUAUUAAGAACUUGUAUUAGCAUAGUACAUUUGUCAUAACUAGUGAACCAAUAUUGAUGCAUUCUCAUUAACUGAAGUCUGUGCUUUAUGCACAUGUCCUCAGUUAUUUUCUAAUGCCCUUUUUCUGUUCCAGGAUCCCACACUGCAUUUAGUCAUCAUGUCUCCUUAGGCUUCUCGUGGCUGUGAGUUCCUUUGUUUUUGACAGCCUUGACAGUGCUGAGGAGUACAGCUAAGGUGUUUGGUAGAAUAGUCUUCAAUUGUGAAUCGUCCAAUCUUUUUCUCAUGAUGACACUGAGGUUAUGGAUUUUGGGGAAGGAGACCAUUGAAGUAAAGUGCCAUUUUUAUCACACCCUAUCAAAGAAAUUUAUUUCUCACCUUUCUGAAGGCUGGGAAGUCCAAGAUUGAGGGGCCGACAAGAACCUUCUUGCUGUGUCAUCCUGUGGCAGAAGGGCAAAGAGAAGAUGAGAGAAAGUGCAAGAAAAAUCAAACUCAUCCUUUUAUACGGUACGCAUUCCCUAGAUAAUAACACUAAUCCAUUCAUGAGGGCUCUGCCCUCAUAACUUCAACACUUCUUAAAGGUCCCACCUCCUAACACUGUUGCAUUGGGGAUCAAGUUUCUCACACAUGACCUUUGGGGGACACAUUCAAACCAUAGCAGGUAUAUACUGUCCCUGUGAUUUAUGACUUGGUGUUGAGCUUGAUCACCUGUCUUAGGUAGUGUUUGUCAGCUUUCCCCACUAUAAAGCUACUCUAUAUGUGCCUCUUUUUAUACUAUACUCUUUGCAAGGAAGUCACUAUGCCCACCCACACCUAAGGAGUGGGGAGCUAUGCUCCACCUCCUUGAGUGCACGGUAUCUGCAUAAAUUACUAGGAAUUCUUCUGCAUGUGAGAUUUAUCUCUUCUCCUCUGUUUACUUAUUAUGUAAUCUUUUGUUUAUAUUAAUAAAGACUCGUAGGUAUGUGUCUUAUGCUCUGGGUUAUAAUCUAAUACUACAUUACUUAUUUUUUUGCUCCGGCUAUUCUGGGUU
rnacentral:lncRNA from 1 species